rnacentral:sRNA from 1 species
ACCCUACUGAUGCCCGCGUCG